GGAGAGAUGCCUGAGUGGACGAAAGGACAUGUUUGGAGAACAUGCGUACCAGAGAUGGUACCGCGGGUUCGAAUCCCGCUCUCUCCG
rnacentral:tRNA from 1 species